UACAGAGGGUGCGAGCGUUGGUCGGAAUUAUUGGGCGUAAAGCGCUGGUAGGUGGCUUGUUAAGUCGCGUGUGAAAGCUCCAGGCUCAACCUGGAAAGUGCGCGCGAAACUGGCGAGCUUGAGUGCCGGAGAGGGUCGCGGAAUUCCCGGUGUAGAGGUGAAAUUCGUAGAUAUCGGGAGGAACACCAGAGGCGAAGGCGGCGACCUGGAAGGUAACUGACACUGAGCAGCGAAAGCGUGGGGAGCAAACAGG
rnacentral:rRNA from 1 species